rnacentral:rRNA from 1 species
CAGCAGUCGCCGCGGUAAUACGUAGGUGGCAAGCGUUGUCCGGAAUUAUUGGGCGUAAAGGGCUCGCAGGCGGUUUCUUAAGUCUGAUGUGAAAGCCCCCGGCUCAACCGGGGAGGGUCAUUGGAAACUGGGAAACUUGAGUGCAGAAGAGGAGAGUGGAAUUCCACGUGUAGCGGUGAAAUGCGUAGAGAUGUGGAGGAACACCAGUGGCGAAGGCGACUCUCUGGUCUGUAACUGACGCUGAGGAGCGGAAGCGUGGGGAGCGAACAGGAUUAGAUACCCCUGUAGUCCCUGUCUCUUAUAA